rnacentral:rRNA from 1 species
UACGAAGGGGGCUAGCGUUGUUCGGAAUUACUGGGCGUAAAGCGCACGUAGGCGGACUAUUAAGUCAGGGGUGAAAUCCCGGGGCUCAACCCCGGAACUGCCUUUGAUACUGGUAGUCUCGAGUCCGGAAGAGGUGAGUGGAAUUCCGAGUGUAGAGGUGAAAUUCGUAGAUAUCGGGAGGAACACCAGUGGCGAAGGCGACUACCUGGCCUGUUCUUGACGCUGAGGCGCGAAAGCUAGGGGAGCAAACGGG